rnacentral:rRNA from 1 species
GAGUUGCACAGACAACCAGGAUGUUGGCUUAGAAGCAGCCACCAUUGAAAGAGUGCGUAAUAGCUCACUGGUCGAGUGACUCUGCGCCGAAAAUGUAACGGGGCUAAACACACCACCGAAGCUAUGAGUCAGCAUCGUGUUCACUGCGUCUUUGAGGUCAUGUUUGGCCACGGGACAUUCGCCAGAUUCAACGACUAAAGUUGAUGAAAGAAUCUGGCUAAAUGUCUCCAGGGGCUAAACAUCCUGCUUCGAAGCUGGAGUGAACACGAUGCGGGCAGUAGGGGAGCGUUGUAUGCGGGUAGAAGCUGGAUCGUGAGGACUGGUGGACUGCAUACAAGUGAGAAUGCCGGUAUGAGUAACGAAAAGAUCAGUGAGAAUCUGAUCCGCCGUAAGCCUAAGGGUUCCUGAGGAAGGUUCGUCCGCUCAGGGUAAGUCGGGACCUAAGGCGAGGCCGAAAGGCGUAGUCGAAGGACAACAGGUUGAAAUUCCUGUACCACCGUGAACCGUUAUGAGCGAUGGGGUGACGCAGAAGGAUAGUGACGCGAGCUGAUGGAUGCUCGUCCAAGCAGUGAGGCUGGUGUGCAGGCAAAUCCGCACAUCGUAAGGCUGGGCUGUGAUGGGGAGGGAAAUUUAAGUACCGAAGGUCAUGAGUUCAGGCUGCCAAGAAAAGCCUCUAGCCAGGGAGAAGGUGCCCGUACCGCAAACCGACACAGGUAGGCGAGCAGAGCAUGCUAAGGCGCUCGGAAGAACUCUCGUUAAG